AUCCAGGUGACGAGUCCCAAAUAGGACGAAAAGCGCGUCCUGGAU
rnacentral:hammerhead_ribozyme from 1 species